UUUUUCAAUAAAUUCAUAAACCUGCUAUAAUAUCAAUAUUUACACACAUUCCAAUACAUAAAACAUCAAAGACAAUAUAUACACAUAAACUUCAUUUCAUAAUUCUGCAAUCUAAAAGUUCAAAACAUUACUAUAGUUCAACACUAAGAAACUUAAAAUAUCUCAAAAUAUAUAAUGAAUCCAAAUAGUAUCAAAUUCAUAUCAUAAAAUAUAUUAUUUAAGUACGUGAGAAAUGACAUUAUGCUAAUCCAUAUGUGAAUCAACAAGGGAUCUAUGAGCUGGAGGAAUAUUAGACGAUGAUGGCAUCAAUGAGGAAGACUGCUGUCCCAUCUUCGCUGUCUGUAGUUCAUCACGCAUUUUAGCUAUCAGCUAUUUUGGUAUUCUACAAGUUUUUGCAAACUAUUAUACUUCUUUUCAAACUUUGCUUCAAUUUCCUUCUUCCAUUCUGGUGAUUGGGAUGAUGGAACAUUUGUUGAUGUUCCCCCAGUUCCUGUUUGAGAGAAGGCAGAAGAGGCAGCACUACCUAAACCAUAAACUCGACUUCCUUGCCAUCCUCCUGCUGCAGUAAUGAACAAUUGAUCCUCAGUAAUGAACAAUUGAUCCUCAACAAUUGAUCCUAAACCAUAAACUCGACUUCUUUGCCAUCCUCCUGCUGCAGUAAUGAACAAUUGUUCCUCCAUCUCCUUCCACAUGAUCUGAUCCUACAUACUGGCUUGAAUGUUGUUCUUUUAGCUUCAGAUAAUU
rnacentral:lncRNA from 1 species